rfam:Hordeum vulgare subsp. vulgare, WGS project CAJW01000000 data, contig: morex_contig_1465827
GGAUGCGAUCAUACCAGUACUAAAGCACCGGAUNNNNNNAGAACUCCGAAGUUAAGCGUGCUUGCCCGAGAGUAGUACUAGGAUGGGUGACCUCCUGGUAAAGUCCUCGUGUUGCAUUCC